GAUGAACGCUGGCGGCGUGCCUAACACAUGCAAGUGGAGCGACGAACCCGGACUUGUCCGGGGGCAAAGCCGCGAACGGGUGAGUAACACGUGGAUUAUCUGCCCCAAUGACCGGGACAACCCGAGGAAACUCGAGCUAAUACCGGAUGUGCUCUUCGGAGGAAAGGAAGCUUCGGCCUCCGCAUUGGGAUGAGUCCGCGGCGCAUUAGCUAGUUGGUGGGGUAAUGGCCUACCAAGGCGACGAUGCGUAGCUGGUCUGAGAGGACGAUCAGCCACACUGGAACUGCGACACGGUCCAGAGUCCCACGGGAGGCAGCAGUGGGGAAGCUUGCGCAAUGCACGAAAGUGUGACGCAGCAACGCCGCGUGCGGGAAGAAGGUCUUCGGAUCGUAAACCGCUUUCAGUUGGGACGAGGGUCAGCUGGUGAAUAGCCAGUCUGACUGACGGUACCUUCAGAAGAAGCCCCGGCUAACUACGUGCCAGCAGCCGCGGUAACAC
rnacentral:rRNA from 1 species